UGACUCAUCCAGGGUUGGAAUUUUGCUAACACAUCACCAUCCAACCUGCUAUGGAUAUACCACACUUGAUUGGAUAGUGAGCCUAUUGCUCAUCCAUCGAUGUCCAAUUUGGUGUUUGCUUUUGACUUCCACGCGAGGUAGAGUGCUAGAUCUCCCUCAUAUUUGUCAAGGAUUGGGAGCUUCUCUCUUGAGGGCUUUUCAUGAGGCGCGGGUGUAGAAGGAACAGUGAACACAGAAGUGCUCAUCUCAGCAAGUCAUCAUUGCAAUUCAGCCAUCUGUAGCACCUGCUGCUGGAGGAUGCUUCAUAGGUCUAAGUUAUCAUCCGCUGUGUUCGGGUGCGGUGGGUGUUUGUAGGAUUGCUCAUAGUUCAUUUCAAUAUCUAAGGACAUAUAAUAAUAAAAAAAAAAAAGAAAAGGAAUACUCAGUCCUCUUGCAGGCACUAUUCACAGUGUUGCAGCACUAAGCUUGGUCAAGCUUCUU
rnacentral:sRNA from 1 species